UUACACUGGAGUACGAAGAAGCUUGA
rnacentral:piRNA from 1 species